UUCGAGUCUCAGACUGAUGAGUCCCGAAUAAGACGAAACUCGAG
rnacentral:hammerhead_ribozyme from 11 species